rnacentral:rRNA from 1 species
CGCCUGUUUAUCAAAAACAUUUCUUUCAGGUAUUAUAUUUAUUGAAAGUUUAACCUGCUCAAUGAAUUUUUUAAAUAGCUGCAGUAAUUUAACUGUACAAAGGUAGCAUAGUAAUUAGUCUUUUAAUUGAGGUCUAGAAUGAAUGGUUUAACAAGAAGUAAGCUUUAUUAAUUCAAUUAAGUGAAAUUUAUUUUUUAGUUAAAAAGCUAAAAUUUAAAAAUGGGACGAUAAGACCCUUUAGAUCUUUAAAUUUUAAUUGAAUAAUAAUAUUAAUGUGGAUUUAAUUUUUAUUAAAUAAAAUUUUUUGUUGGGGUGACAGCUAAAAUCUUAAAUCUUUAGUAUUUUACACCAUUUAUUUAUGUAUAUUUGAACCUUAAUUUAGGGUUAUUAAAAUAAGAUACCUUAGGGAUAACAGCAUAAUAAAUUUGCAAAGUUCAUAUAUAUAAAUUUGAUUGUGACCUCGAUGUUGAAUUAAUCUAGAAUUCUGG